rnacentral:rRNA from 1 species
UGAGUACAAGAUGCUACGGCAUUGAAGCAGUCUAUGUCAUACUUCCAAGAAAAGCUUGCAAUGUCAUAAACAAAUAAUGCCUGUACCAUAACCGACACAGGUGGGUAGGUAGAGUAUACUAAGGGGCGCGAGAUAACUCUCUCUAAGGAACUCGGCAAAAUGACUCCGUAACUUCGGGAGAAGGAGUACCUUAUUUUAUAAGGUUGCAAUAACAAGGUCCAAGCAACUGUUUACCAAAAACACAGGUCUCCGCUAAGUCGUAAGACGAUGUAUGGGGGCUGACGCCUGCCCAGUGCCAGAAGGUUAAAGAAGUUGGUUAGCAUUAGCGAAGCUGAUAACUGAAGCCCUGGUGAACGGCGGCCGUAACGAUAACGGUCCUAAGGUAGCGAAAUUCCUUGUCGGGCAAGUUCCGACCCGCACGAAAGGCGUAAUGAUUUGGAUACUGUCUCGGAGAGGGGCUCGGUGAAAUAGACUUGUCUGUGAAGAUGCGGACUACCUGCACCUGGACAGAAAGACCCUAUGAAGCUUUACUGUAACUUGAGAUUGAAAUUGGACUUUAUUUGCGCAGUAUAGGUGGGAGACCUCGAAAGUAUUCUUGCGGGAGUAUUGGAGUCAUCAGUGAGAUACCACUCUUAUAAUGUUAGAUUUCUAACUUUGUAUCAUUAUCUGGUCAAAGAACAGUUUCAGGCGGGCAGUUUGACUGGGGCGGUCGCCUCCCAAAUGGUAACGGAGGCGCACAAAGGUUUCCUCUGAACGUGUAGAAAUCGUAUCUAGAGUGUAAAGGCAUAAGGAAGCUUGACUGUGAGACCUACAAGUCGAGCAGGGACGAAAGUCGGUCUUAGUGAUCUGACGGUGCUGAGUGGAAAGGCCGUCACUCAACGGAUAAAAGUUACUCUAAGGAUAACAGGCUGAUCUCCCCCAAGAGUUCACAUCGACGGGGAGGUUUGGCACCUCGAUGUCGGCUCAUCGCAUCCUGGGGCGGUAGUACGUCCCAAGGGUUGGGCUGUUCGCCCAUGAAAGCGGUACGCGAGCUGGGUUCAGAACGUCGUGAGACAGUUCGGUCCAUAUCCGGUGUAGGCGUUAGAAUAUUGAGAGGAGCCUUCUUUAGUACGAGAGGACCGGGAAGGACAUACCUCUGGUGUACCAGUUAUCGUGCCAACGGUAAACGCUGGGUAGCUAUGUAUGGAGAGGAUAACCGCUGAAAGCAUCUAAGUGGGAAGCCCACCUCAAGAUAAG